AAGUGACAAAGGCAAAUCCACCGUAAGGUGGAGACGCAAAGCUUCCGGUCCCUCAAUAUAAACCUAUUGAGCAAGGGAUAGCGGGGUUCCCAAA
rnacentral:ncRNA from 1 species